rnacentral:rRNA from 1 species
UCUUUCAGCCGGGAAGAAAAUGCAUGGGUUAAUACCCUGUGUGGAUGACGGUACCGGAAUAAGAAGCACCGGCUAACUACGUGCCAGCAGCCGCGGUAAUACGUAGGGUGCGAGCGUUAAUCGGAAUUACUGGGCGUAAAGCGUGCGCAGGCGGUUUGUUAAGAUAGGCGUGAAAUCCCCGGGCUCAACCUGGGAACUGCGUUUAUGACUGGCAGGCUAGAGUAUGGCAGAGGGGGGUGGAAUUCCACGUGUAGCAGUGAAAUGCGUAGAGAUGUGGAGGAACACCGAUGGCGAAGGCAGCCCCCUGGGCCAAUACUGACGCUCAUGCACGAAAGCGUGGGUAGCAAACAGGAUUAGAUACCCUGGUAGUCCACGCCCUAAACGAUGUCAACUAGGUGUUGGGUGGGUAAAACCAUUUA